UUUGUGAUUUUGGCACAUUUUUUCCCAUUUCUUUUGGUGAGAAAAAUGAAGCUCAGAGAGAUUAAGUGACCUGUGCAAGACUGCCUAGCCAGUAAGGGUGGAUUCUACGCUGCUCAUGGUAAAUCUGGACUCUUCUCUGUGACAGUCUGCCAAACACCUGGUUAUGCAUCCUUCCUUGUCAUUCCUGAAGUGAAAAAUGAAGGCAAGAAAUGCUCCUGAAGUGAAGAAUCAGAAGACACUAAGGAUCAUGUGAAAGAGCUCCCUGAGGACAGAUUAAGAGGAGAUGAGUUAAAGCUGCAAAUACCAAGAUUUAAGAUGAAAUUAAGAAUGCUGAUCAGCUAAAGGACCUUCACACACAAAGGUUAUCCUGGAUUAUUCAGCCCUAUUUGCAUCACCUUGCGGGUACUGGGGUUUGGAGGAAUUGGCUCAGAUGCUGAUACCGUGGCUACUGCUAUUGUGGUGUCUUGGUCCAUUGUGCUGCUAUAAUAGAAUACCUGAGACUCGACAAUUUAAAAUGAACAGAUAUUUAUCGGCUCAGAGUUCUGGAGGCUGGGAAGUACAAUAUCAAGAUGCUGGCUGUUUGCGAGGGUCUUCUUGCUACAUCAUUUCAUGGCAGAAG